ACGAACGCUGGCGGCGUGCCUAAUACAUGCAAGUCGAACGCUUCUUUUUCCACCGGAGCUUGCUCCACCGGAAAAAGAGGAGUGGCGAACGGGUGAGUAACACGUGGGUAACCUGCCCAUCAGAAGGGGAUAACACUUGGAAACAGGUGCUAAUACCGUAUAACAAUCGAAACCGCAUGGUUUUGAUUUGAAAGGCGCUUUCGGGUGUCGCUGAUGGAUGGACCCGCGGUGCAUUAGCUAGUUGGUGAGGUAACGGCUCACCAAGGCGACGAUGCAUAGCCGACCUGAGAGGGUGAUCGGCCACAUUGGGACUGAGACACGGCCCAAACUCCUACGGGAGGCAGCAGUAGGGAAUCUUCGGCAAUGGACGAAAGUCUGACCGAGCAACGCCGCGUGAGUGAAGAAGGUUUUCGGAUCGUAAAACUCUGUUGUUAGAGAAGAACAAGGAUGAGAGUAACUGUUCAUCCCUUGACGGUAUCUAACCAGAAAGCCACGGCUAACUACGUGCCAGCAGCCGCGGUAAUACGUAGGUGGCAAGCGUUGUCCGGAUUUAUUGGGCGUAAAGCGAGCGCAGGCGGUUUCUUAAGUCUGAUGUGAAAGCCCCCGGCUCAACCGGGGAGGGUCAUUGGAAACUGGGAGACUUGAGUGCAGAAGAGGAGAGUGGAAUUCCAUGUGUAGCGGUGAAAUGCGUAGAUAUAUGGAGGAACACCAGUGGCGAAGGCGGCUCUCUGGUCUGUAACUGACGCUGAGGCUCGAAAGCGUGGGGAGCAAACAGGAUUAGAUACCCUGGUAGUCCACGCCGUAAACGAUGAGUGCUAAGUGUUGGAGGGUUUCCGCCCUUCAGUGCUGCAGCUAACGCAUUAAGCACUCCGCCUGGGGAGUACGACCGCAAGGUUGAAACUCAAAGGAAUUGACGGGGGCCCGCACAAGCGGUGGAGCAUGUGGUUUAAUUCGAAGCAACGCGAAGAACCUUACCAAGUCUUGACAUCCUUCUGACCGGUACUUAAUCGUACCUUCUCUUCGGAGCAGGAGUGACAGGUGGUGCAUGGUUGUCGUCAGCUCGUGUCGUGAGAUGUUGGGUUAAGUCCCGCAACGAGCGCAACCCUUAUUGUUAGUUGCCAUCAUUUAGUUGGGCACUCUAGCAAGACUGCCGGUGACAAACCGGAGGAAGGUGGGGAUGACGUCAAAUCAUCAUGCCCCUUAUGACCUGGGCUACACACGUGCUACAAUGGGAAGUACAACGAGUCGCAAAGUCGCGAGGCUAAGCUAAUCUCUUAAAGCUUCUCUCAGUUCGGAUUGUAGGCUGCAACUCGCCUACAUGAAGCCGGAAUCGCUAGUAAUCGCGGAUCAGCACGCCGCGGUGAAUACGUUCCCGGGCCUUGUACACACCGCCCGUCACACCACGAGAGUUUGUAACACCCGAAGUCGGUGAGGUAACCUUUUGGAGCCAGCCGCCUAAGGUGGGAUAGAUGAUUGGGGUG
rnacentral:rRNA from 1 species